rnacentral:rRNA from 1 species
UACGUAGGGUGCGAGCGUUGUCCGGAAUUAUUGGGCGUAAAGGGCGCGUAGGCGGUCUGUUGCGUCGGGAGUGAAAACUUACAGCUUAACUGUGAGCGUGCUUCCGAUACGGGCAGACUUGAGGUAUUCAGGGGAGAACGGAAUUCCUGGUGUAGCGGUGAAAUGCGCAGAUAUCAGGAGGAACACCGGUGGCGAAGGCGGUUCUCUGGGAAUAUCCUGACGCUGAGGAGCGAAAGUGUGGGGAGCGAACAGG